rnacentral:antisense_RNA from 1 species
CCGGCUCUUCUUGCUUCGUCGGUCGCCCCCUCCCCGCCAAGCUGGUCGCACUGUUGCCGUUUCACUGCGGCUGACGGAAGGCCAAGGAAGAAAGAGGGUAGAGACGCUGUCGCGAGGAUCAGGCUGCCCUCUCCUUUCCCAGGCACCGUGUUGGGGCCUUCUGAGCACCCCGCCCCGCAUCCUGCGCCUCAGAGGCCCAACGGAGCCCAGGACACCCAUGCUCUCCGCCUCUGUCCCAGCCACCAAAGCCCCCGCGAUGGAAUGGGGGACGGGGUGGCCUUGGGCAGAGAAGCGCUUCUUGUGCCGGAUUGGAAGGAAACCGUAGCUCUGGCUGUGUUCACCGCGAAACGUGUUGUGGAUGUGGGAUGGCUUCAGGCAGCCUCCAUGCCUGUCUGACGUAAGGAGAUCUUGAGGCAGAAAUGAAAGGUGACACCUGUGCACCUUCCCAUUUCCAGAUCAGGCAGUACCUAGCUCAACUGGGAAAAACAAGACGAGGACCUAUGUGUGUCUCCAGAAAGGUUAAAAGCCCAGUGCCAAUGCAAAGGAUUUUUACAAGCAAAAGUCUCAUUAUUAAUGAGGCCAGAAAACCAAAAUGACAAUGAUCUUUGAUGAUCUGUACUGAUAAGCAGGAGAGGUGAGUUAAUCAGAAACACACAUUUACUGGCACCCCCUUUGUGCCCAGUCCCUGCUCCUCGAAACUGAUGUUUGUAUUUCAGA